rnacentral:rRNA from 1 species
UUAGGAAUAUUGGACAAUGGGCGCAAGCCUGAUCCAGCCAUGCCGCGUGAGUGAUGAAGGCCUUCGGGUUGUAAAGCUCUUUAGUCCACGAAUAUAAUGACUGUAGUGGAAGAAUAAGCACCGGCUAACUCCGUGCCAGCAGCCGCGGUAAUACGGAGGGUGCAAGCGUUAUCCGGAUUCACUGGGUUUAAAGGGUGCGUAGGCGGAUAUGUAAGUCAGUGGUGAAAUCAACGGGCUCAACCUGUUAACUGCCAUUGAUACUGUGUAUCUUGAAUAUGAGAGAGNUAGGCGGAAUGUUGCAUGUAGCGGUGAAAUGCUUAGAUAUGCUACGGAACACCGAUUGCGAAGGCAGCUUACUAUCUCGUAAUUGACGCUGAGGCACGAAAGCGUGGGUAGCGAACA